CCUACGGGGUGCUGCAGUGGGGAAUAUUGGACAAUGGGCGAAAGCCUGAUCCAGCCAUGCCGCGUGUGUGAAGAAGGCCUUCGGGUUGUAAAGCACUUUCAGUGGGGAAGAAAGCCUUGGGGCUAAUACCCUCGAGGAAGGACAUCACCCACAGAAGAAGCACCCGCUAACUCCGUGCCAGCAGCCGCGGUAAUACGGAGGGUGCGAGCGUUAAUCGGAAUUACUGGGCGUAAAGCGCGCGUAGGCGGUCUGAUAAGCCGGUUGUGAAAGCCCCGGGCUCAACCUGGGAACGGCAUCCGGAACUGUCAGGCUAGAGUGCAGGAGAGGAAGGUAGAAUUCCCGGUGUAGCGGUGAAAUGCGUAGAGAUCGGGAGGAAUACCAGUGGCGAAGGCGACCUUCUGGACUGACACUGACGCUGAGGUGCGAAAGCGUGGGUAGCAAACAGGAUUAGAUACCCGGGUAGUC
rnacentral:rRNA from 1 species